UUAGGAAUAUUCGUCAAUGGGGGAAACCCUGAACGAGCAAUGCCGCGUGAGUGAUGACGGUCUUUAUGAUUGUAAAACUCUGUUGUUGGGGAUGAAACCUUACUAUAGGUAAUGAUAGUAAGCUGACAGUACCCUUCCAGAAAGCCCCGGCUAACUACGUGCCAGCAGCCGCGGUAAUACGUAGGGGGCGAGCGUUAUCCGGAUUUAUUGGGCGUAAAGCGUGUGUAGGCGGUUUAUUAAGUCUAAGAUUAAAGUCUGAGGCUCAACCUCAGUUCGUCUUGGAAACUGGUAGACUUGAGUGUGGUAGAGGCAAGUGGAAUUUCUAGUGUAGCGGUUAAAUGCGUAGAUAUUAGAAGGAACACCAGUGGCGAAGGCGGCUUGCUGGGCCAUUACUGACGCUGAGACACGAAAGCGUGGGGAGCAAAUAGG
rnacentral:rRNA from 1 species